AUGAAACUAACUGUCAUUGGUAGGUGGGCGGGACCUUGGGUAUGCGAGCCUGGCAGAGACAUAUGGGGCAGGCUGCUACCAGGCAGGGCAGUGAAGAAAACUAGCAUUCGAGAAGAUGACUUUGAAAAUGGUUCCACAUGUCUUCUGCCUGGCCAAGUACUCCUGUUAACUGUAAAAAGGUGUCUUUUUGAAGCUUCCUAGCUUUGCUUUUCAACUGUGAUGAAACAGCAUUUAAAAGAAAGUGGCAUGUGAGGUGAGAUCAGGAGAAUGGAUUCUUUUAUUUCAUCUGAAUAGAGAGUUGCUGUUCCAGGUAACUUUCAGCUCUUAUUUCGUUUUGACACAUUGUCAAAAUGUUUAACUCUUCAUUUCCAGGAUUUGUCAGUUCUGUAAAAAGAGUGGUGACCGGCAAAUCAUUCUACUGAUGUUAAUGAACACAGAUCUGAUUAAGCAAACUCAGCUUCUUUUGAGAUAAGAAAAUUGUGCUGAAGUAGCCCACUAGACAUUUACCUCCUUUUUACAGAGGGAAGCAGACACAAACUACAUCAGUUUUGUUUACUGAGCUAGAAAUAUGAAACAUGACAAAUAGCCGUGUCUUUAAAACUUGAAACAAAAUAAAUUACAAACUUCCUGAAGAAGUACA
rnacentral:lncRNA from 13 species